AUGGUGGAAGUCUGAGUUUGCAGUAGCUGCCGUGGGGGCAGGAGCCCAAGGUGAUCUGGGGAUACAUGCCCACCGGAUGGGUGCUGCUUAGAGCUUGCUAAAAUUAUGGAAAGAGCAAGCGGACAGACUUUCCCUGCACAGCUGCUCCAGCUGAAGUGCACACACAGGACACUGGACCUGGCCUACAGGCAGCUUCUGACUCAGGAGAGCAGAGAGCAAAGGUCCCAGGGGACGGUCACAGUGGCACAGUAGCCGGAGCUGAACUCUCUGCUCAACCCAUCACCUUGCCUGCCUCUCCCAGGAAGAGAGGUGCCUCCAUCUGCCUUCCCGUCCGCGGGCCGUGUGUGCCUCCGUCCUGCCCAAGCCGAGCAGCAGUCUUCCUGUUCCAGGCAGCG
rnacentral:lncRNA from 13 species